CAAUAGCGUAUAUUAAAGUUGUUGCGGUUAAAAAGCUCGUAGUUGGAUUUCUGCUGAGGACGAUCGGUCCGCCCACUGGGUGAGUAUCUGGCUCGGCCUUGGCAUCUUCUUGGAGAACGUUGCUGCACUUGACUGUGUGGUGCGGUAUCCAGGACUUUUACUUUGAGGAAAUUAGAGUGUUUCAAGCAGGCGCACGCCUUGAAUACAUUAGCAUGGAAUAAUAAGAUAGGACCUUGGUUCUAUUUUGUCGGUUUCUAGAGCUGAGGUAAUGAUUAAUAGGGAUAGUUGGGGGCAUUCGUAUUUAACUGUCAGAGGUGAAAUUCUUGGAUUUGUUAAAGACGGACUACUGCGAAANCNUUUGCCNAGGAUGUUUUNAUUGA
rnacentral:rRNA from 1 species